GACGAACGCUGGCGGCGUGCUUAACACAUGCAAGUCGAACGGAAAGGCCCUGCUUUUGUGGGGUGCUCGAGUGGCGAACGGGUGAGUAACACGUGAGUAACCUGCCCUUGACUUUGGGAUAACUUCAGGAAACUGGGGCUAAUACCGGAUAGGAGCUCCUGCUGCAUGGUGGGGGUUGGAAAGUUUCGGCGGUUGGGGAUGGACUCGCGGCUUAUCAGCUUGUUGGUGGGGUAGUGGCUUACCAAGGCUUUGACGGGUAGCCGGCCUGAGAGGGUGACCGGCCACAUUGGGACUGAGAUAAGGCCCAGACUCCUACGGGAGGGAGCAGGGGGGAAUAUUGCACAAUGGGCGGAAGGCUGAUGCAGCAACGCCGCGUGCGGGAUGACGGCCUUCGGGUUGUAAACCGCUUUCGCCUGUGACGAAGCGUGAGUGACGGUAAUGGGUAAAGAAGCAACGGCUAACUACGUG
rnacentral:rRNA from 1 species